rnacentral:rRNA from 1 species
GAUGAACGCUGGCGGAAUGCCUAACACAUGCAAGUCAUACGCGAACCUGCGCUUGCGCGGCCUAGCCAAGCGGGACGGGUGAGAAACGGGUAAGGAACUUGCACUGCAGACAGGGAUAACAGACGGAAACGAGUGAUAACACCCGGUAUUGUCAUGCUGGCGCAUGCCGGCCGGAUGAAAGGAGACGCUGCAGGAGAGGGUUGCGUGCUAUUAGCUCGGUGGUGGGGUAACGGGCCACCAAGGCGACAAGAGGUAGCCGGCCUCGGAGGGUGAACGGCCACACGGGGACUGAGAGACGCCGCUUACUCUCACGCGAGGCAGCGGUGGGGAAUAUUGGACACAGGGGGCAACACUCAUACAGCAAUUCUGUGUGUAAGAGGAAGGUUUUCGGAGUGUAAAGUGCUUUCAGAAGGGAGGAGGAAAGGACCGGUACCUGCAGAAGAAGCGAGGGCUAAAUCCGUG